GCCUGUGCCACCGCCUCCGGGCGGGGGGAGCCGCCUGCCCGUCCCAUAAAGGGCGGCCGCGGCCCCUCCGAGGCUCGGUGCGGAGCAGGGCCCGGGUUCUGCCUCUGCACGGCCGCUGGCCCUCACGCAGGCUCCUCCCGGAGAAAGCCGGAUUCCCCGUCGAGUCGCUGCCAUGGCCUCCGUCCCGUCCGCCGGCUGCCUCCUGGCCAAAAACCAGUACUACAGGACAAGACUGAACUCGGAAUCCAGCGUUUCUUCCAGCUCCUCCUGCUGUUUGGAUGCUGUGAACAUCACAGACCAGGACAAAGCAUUGCAUGGGUUACCAGAGUUAAUUGAUAAACAUUGGUGGAUAAAAAGCUUCUUCCACAGUGAGCCCUCUCCACCCACUGUUGGCAGAAAAACACUCUCAGCAAGCAGUACCAACAGUUGAAAAGGACAGCAUGAUGGCUUUUCUGACUGAGAUGCUACAUACAGACUUGUUUUUCCAAGUGGCUUGGGAUCUUCCUAAUGUCUGGGUUCAGCUGCAAGUGGAAAACAAAACCUUUAGGAGAGUGGAAAAGUGUAUUUUCAAAAUAUUUUUUCAGUAGCUAAAAUGAUAUUGCUUAAUGUACAUAUCCAUGGCCUACUGUGUUCUUUCCAGAUUUGCCAUAAUUUGUGAUGUCUCUCUAAUGAAAGUUUCCAGGAAUAAACAUCCUGAUGACUCGAAUAAUUAGAGAAAA
rnacentral:lncRNA from 1 species